rnacentral:rRNA from 1 species
AUUGAACGCUGGCGGCAGGCCUAACACAUGCAAGUCGAACGAGUGGCGGACGGGUGAGUAAUGUCUGGGAAACUGCCCGAUGGAGGGGGAUAAAUACUGGAAACGGUAGCUAAUACCGCAUACCAUCGGAUGUGCCCAGAUGGGAUUAGCUUGUAGUUGAGGUAACGGCUCACCUAGCCGACGAGCCCUAGAUGGUGUGAGAGAAUGACCAGCCACACUGGGACUGUGACCCGGUCCAGACGCGUACGGGAGGCAGCAGUGGGGAAUAUUGCACAGUGGGUGAAAGCCUGAUGCAGCCAGGCCGCGUGGAUGAAGAAGGCCUUCGGGUUGUAAAGUACGUGCAGCGGGGAGGCGUUACCCGCAGAAGAAGCACCGGCUAACGCCGUGCCAGCAGCCGAGGUAAUUC